UGAGGAAUAUUGGUCAAUGGACGGAAGUCUGAACCAGCCAAGUCGCGUGAAGGAAGACGGUUCUAUGGAUUGUAAACUUCUUUUGCCUGAGGGUAAAACGCGGUACGUGUACCGCCUUGUAAGUAUCAGGUGAAUAAGCAUCGGCUAACUCCGUGCCAGCAGCCGCGGUAAUACGGAGGAUGCGAGCGUUAUCCGGAUUUAUUGGGUUUAAAGGGUGCGUAGGCGGGAUGUUAAGUCAGCGGUGAAAGUUUGCGGCUCAACCGUAAAAUUGCCGUUGAAACUGGCGUUCUUGAGUGUAAACGAGGUAGGCGGAAUGUGACGUGUAGCGGUGAAAUGCUUAGAUAUGUCACAGAACCCCGAUUGCGAAGGCAGCUUACCAGCAUACAACUGACGCUGAGGCACGAAAGCGUGGGUAUCAAACAGG
rnacentral:rRNA from 1 species